rnacentral:rRNA from 1 species
UGGGGAAUUUUGUGCAAUGGGCGAAAGCCUGACACAGCGACACCGCGUGAGCGAAGAAGCCCUUUGGGGUGUAAAGCUCUGUCGGCAGGAACGAAAAAAAUGACGGUACCUGCAAAGGAAGCAUCGGCUAACUACGUGCCAGCAGCCGCGGUAAGACGUAGGAUGCAAGCGUUGUCCGGAUUUAUUGGGCGUAAAGAGUUCGUAGGUGGUUUGUUAAGUCUGAUGUUAAAUACUGGGGCCCAACCCCGGAGCUGCAUUGGAUACUGGCAGACUGGAGUACAGUAGAGGCAAGCGGAAUUCCCAGUGUAGCGGUGAAAUGCGUAGAUAUUGGGAAGAACACCAGUGGCGUAAGCGGCUUGCUGGGCUGUAACUGACACUGAGGAACGAAAGCCAGGGGAGCGAAUGGG